GAUCUAAGUGGCAACAUAUCGAUGUAUCGAACAAAUGCAAUCUAAAAAUAAAGAGAAAGUGUCAUUGUAAAUGUGCUAAGGCCGGGUGAAGCACAAAAAAUACCUUGGUGAUAAAUGAUAACACCAAUCGUAAGAGACCCUGCCAGUAAAACAGCAAGCAGUUAAACGUUUACACAUUACACAUAACUAGCUAACCAUUACAACGGAACUAGGAAUCAAAUGCAUUAUUUAAGUUGCAUAAGCAACUGUGCAUAAGUACCAUCAGGAUAAGCUUGCCUUGCCAGCUGGAGUGCAUCAGAAUUAGCUAAAUCUGCCCGAGCGCGUGGAGGUACGGUGCCACUAAGGAAUCCGCGGCGACUUGCAACUGCAGCCGCCGCCACGGGCGAGCUCGGAUGGCGCGCGGCGCGGUCACCUCAGACCCGGCCGUCGCCGUCCCGGAGGACGAGGACGCCUUGCCGUGACUGUCGGCCUCGCACAGGCUUGGCCGCGGGCACGCACGGCCGCCUCCCCGUCGCGGGGGCGCGCGAGCUGCUGUUGCGCGAGUGGGCCGCAUCGCGGGUAGGCGCGCUCCCCGCGCCCCGCUGGCCGCUGCUGCUGCGCGCCUCCUGCAAGCUCGGUCCCGGCCGCGGGCUGCUGCCCGCACGCACCGGCUCCCGCGGGUCCCCGUCGUCUCUGGGAAGGGAAGUGACCGGUGGAUCUGGGAGAAGCAGCGGUGGAUCUGGGGAGCAGAGAGAUAUGAACGAGUAGGGGGGAAGUUAGGGGAGCGCGUGCAGAUCUGAGGGGAGGAGGGAGUGGAGUGAGAGGGGAAGGGUUAGCCGGCUAGGGAUUCGUCCGGAGGGGAGGCGUUCAUAUUUAUCGAUAAUGGAG
rnacentral:lncRNA from 1 species